GGGACUUGGAGAGAGAGAGAGAUGUGAUCGGUGGUGGCGAAGCGGAGGAGAGUCGGUGAUCGAUGCAAUCAGGAUUCUAUUACACCUUAAAGAGAACGGCGCCCAACUCGGCUACUCCGGAGAGGGGAGCUUGGGUGCACAAGCUAGACAGUAACAGGACGUUGAGCGGGACUAAGUUCCUUGUGUUCAAUUACUGGUUUUGCACGUACUAUAGAUACAAAUGCUGGCAGCACAUGAUGGCAACAGGGUUUCAAAGCUAGAGAAUGUUGUCGGUGGCAGUUUGUACAUGGAAGGCCACAUUUUGAUGCUUCUUCAUACCCCUCGACAACAAACAACAGCAUUAAACCCUGCCCCGGAGCAUAAAAGACUCAGCUGAAAAUUACAUACGGAACACAACUUCUUGGCAGUGGAAUGUCGUGAUAAACUGCGCCCUCAUCAACACAACCUGGCAUCAGUAACUAUAGCCCUGGGGAGGUGGAGGCAGGAGGAUCAGAGGCAUAAGGUUGUCCUUGGCUAUACUGUGAGUUUGAUGCCAGUCUAAGCUACAUGAACUCUGUUAAGCAAAUAAAAAACAGACGACAACCCUGCUGUAUUCUACCUUAAGGAGUCUCAUGUUUUAGUAUAAUUGAUGCUAGUUGCCAAAGAUGCUGAUUCAGCAUAUAU
rnacentral:lncRNA from 1 species